UGUCAUGGCGGGUUGCGCGUGGACUUCUUCGGAAGUGCCGGUCCUACUACCGGUCCGCCAACCGUGCGCAAUCCGCCACCCAA
rnacentral:antisense_RNA from 1 species